rnacentral:rRNA from 1 species
GAGUUUGAUCCUGGCUCAGAACGAACGCUGGCGGCGUGCCUAACACAUGCAAGUCGAACGUGAUCCAGAGCUUGCUCUGGUGAAAGUGGCGCACGGGUGAGUAACGCGUGGAUAACCUACCCUGGUAUCCGGGAUAACAUUCCGAAAGGGGUGCUAAUACCGGAUAAGCCCACGGGCUCUUUGGAGCUUGCGGGAAAAGGUGGCCUCUAUUUAUAAGCUACUGUAUCAGGAUGGGUCCGCGUACCAUUAGCUAGUUGGCGGUGUAACGGACCACCAAGGCGACGAUGGUUAGCUGGUCUGAGAGGAUGAUCAGCCACACUGGAACUGAGACACGGUCCAGACUCCUACGGGAGGCAGCAGUGGGGAAUUUUGCGCAAUGGGGGAAACCCUGACGCAGCAACGCCGCGUGAGUGAUGAAGGCUUUCGGGUCGUAAAACUCUGUCCUAUGGGAAGAAAAAAAUGACGGUACCAUAGGAGGAAGCCCCGGCUAACUACGUGCCAGCAGCCGCGGUAAUAC